ACCGCCCGUCGCUAACUACCGAUGGAUUAUUUUAGUGAGGUUUUCUGGAGGCUUACCUCCGCGGUUCUUCGUGAGCUGCGCCUGGCAUGGCUGAGUUGGAACCGAACUGAUGAUUUAGAGGAAGUAAACGUCGUAACAAGGUUCCGUAGGUGAACCUGCGAAGG
rnacentral:rRNA from 1 species